GACGAACCGAGCGAACGUUGUUCGGAAUUACUGGGCGUAAAGCGCGUGUAGGCUGCUUCGAAAGUCGGAUGUGAAAGCCCUGGGCUCAACCUAGGAAGUGCAUUCGAAACUUCGAAGCUUGAGUUCUGGAGAGGAAGGCGGAAUUCUCGGUGUAGAGGUGAAAUUCGUAGAUAUCGAGAGGAACACCGGUGGCGAAGGCGGCCUUCUGGACAGUGACUGACGCUGAGACGCGAAAGCGUGGGAGGACAACAGGG
rnacentral:rRNA from 1 species